GACGAACGCUGGCGGCGUGCUUAACACAUGCAAGUCGAACGCGCCUGUCCUCUGGGUUUCUGGGGGUGGGUGAGUGGCGAACGGGUGAGUAACACGUGAGUAACCUGCCCCCUUCUUCGGGAUAACGGUCUGAAAGGGCUGCUAAUACCGGGUAUUCACUGGUCUCCGCAUGGGGUCUGGUGGAAAGGUUUUUUUCUGGUGGGGGAUGGGCUCGCGGCCUAUCAGCUUGUUGGGGGGGUGAUGGCCCACCAAGGCUUUGACGGGUAGCCGGCCUGAGAGGGUGACCGGUCACAUUGGGACUGAGAUACGGCCCAGACUCCUACGGGAGGCAGCAGUGGGGAAUAUUGCACAAUGGGCGCAAACCUGAUGCAGCGACGCCGCGUGAGGGAUGGAGGCCUUCGGGUUGUGAACCUCUUUCGCCCGUGGUCAAGCCGCGACGUGGGUCGUGGUGAGGGUAGUGGGUAAAGAAGCGCCGGCUAACUACGUG
rnacentral:rRNA from 1 species